ACGUAGGUGGCAAGCGUUGUCCGGAUUUAUUGGGCGUAAAGCGAGCGCAGGCGGUUUCUUAAGUCUGAUGUGAAAGCCUUCGGCUCAACCGAAGAAGUGCAUUGGAAACUGGGUAACUUGAGUGCAGAAGAGGACAGUGGAACUCCAUGUGUAGCGGUGAAAUGCGUAGAUAUAAGGAAUAACACCAAUGGCGAAGGCAACUGUCUUAUCUGUAACUGACGCUGAGGCUCGAAAGCGUGGGUAUCAAACAG
rnacentral:rRNA from 1 species